CAGGAGAUGAAGUGGCUAAAGAAGGAUCGGAAGCUGGAGAUCUGGAACCCGACUUGCCAGUUGCUGAUGAGGGAGGAGUUGUUGUUGUAUUGCCUGACCUUUGGCAUGUGCCUAUUACUCUGGCGGUGGAAAACUUCUUCAAUCAGCUUCGGGCAAAUCAAGAAUACAGUGUGGUCCGGAGAGAAAUAUUUGAAGACACCGUGGACCGAUUGGAAUGGGAACGGACUCGGAUUGAUUACACUGAUGACAUCCGCGAAGCGAUUACAGAGAUCGCACAUACGUUUAGAUUAUAUAAUAUUUUCGAGUUUGAUGCUGCUGGUCGGCGCAACGGUGUUCCCAGCCAGCACGACAUCCAUGAUGUUUUUUUUGUUCCUUGCAUUAAAUUUCGUCAGUUGAGAGUAAGCUGU